UGGGGAAUUUUGCGCAAUGGGGGAAACCCUGACGCAGCAACGCCGCGUGAGUGAUGAAGGCCUUCGGGUCGUAAAGCUCUGUCAGAGGGGAAGAAGUGCAGGGGUGCUAAUAUCACCUUCGUUUGACGGUACCCUCAAAGGAAGCACCGGCUAACUCCGUGCCAGCAGCCGCGGUAAUACGGAGGGUGCGAGCGUUGUUCGGACUUAUUGGGCGUAAAGCGCGUGUAGGCGGUUUGGUAAGUCUGAUGUGAAAGCCCCGGGCUCAACCUGGGAAGGGCAUUGGGAACUGUCAGGCUUGAAUACGGGAGAGGGUAGUGGAAUUCCUAGUGUAGGAGUGAAAUCCGUAGAUAUUAGGAGGAACACCGGUGGCGAAGGCGGCUACCUGGACCGAUAUUGACGCUGAGACGCGAAAGCGUGGGGAGCAAACAG
rnacentral:rRNA from 1 species